rnacentral:rRNA from 1 species
UACGGGGGAUGCAAGCGUUAUCCGGAUUUAUUGGGCGUAAAGCGCCUGUAGGUUGUUUAAUAAGUCUGUUGUUAAAGACUAGGGCUUAACCCUAGGAAAGCAAUGGAAACUACUAGACUUGAGUAUGAUAGGGGUAGAGGGAAUUUCUAGUGUAGCGGUGAAAUGCGUAGAUAUUAGAAAGAACACCGGCGGCGAAGGCGCUCCACUGGACCAUUACUGACACUCAGAGGCGAAAGCUAGGGUAGCAAAAGGGAUUAGAUACCCCUGUAGUCCUAGCCGUAAACGAUGGAUACUACAUGUUGUAUUUAUUUUACAGUAUGGUAGCUAACGCGUUAAGUAUCCCGCCUGGGGAGUACGCUCGCAAGGGUG